CAUGGAUAAUCGUUCUUCAACGUUCAUAUAUUGCGCGGUCACGUAACAAACAUUUUCGAGCGUUUGAGCACUUCAGCAGACCCACAAUACGUGUCAGAUUGGUCGAAGAAACCUCGAAUUAAAACAGCUAAAUAGAAUAUUUUGAUCGUGGAAAGGAAAAGCUGUCAAACCAUUGUGAAACCCCUUUGUGUGUGCACGCGCGUGCUUCAUCAACCAUCGAAAUCACAAUAUUAUCACGAGCAUCUACAGUCCAUAGAAACAACAAAACUGCUCCACAGCAUCCGCCUAUUUGUAUUUAGGUCUUGUUUUAACUAAUCUACACACAGGUAAGUUAAAGCUGAACAUAUCUAGAAGAAUGAAAGCAAGGGGAAAGAAAGAAAUACUGAAAGAAGGGAAACCCAACAAAGAGUCUGUGAUUGAUCACAACACAAACCAAGUCAAACCUACCGCUGGAUGAUCCUCGCCGAGUGUCUUUUCUCUAAUCGUCAGUGCAUCGUGAAGCAAAUUGGCCGCCUCUUUAUAUUUGUUUUGGUCUCUGCAAAAGCAGACACAGAUGGACAAGAAAAGACCUGUUUGAUGCAACCAAAAUGUUUGCUGUCAGUCAACUAUGCAGAUAAACACUUGGAUUGUAAACAUUGUGGAAUUUGUGGAACAUUUCGUUUGAAUGAGACAUCAUGAAGGGUACAAACAACCAAACUGAUGGCAGCGAUCUACUAUGCUGAGAAAUGCAUGGAUCAUAAAUAUUGUGGAACAUAUAAAUUGAACAAGAAUUUGAAUUGUGAGCAGACACAACAAAAGUGCUUGAUACAUGACAAAGAAUGCAGUUCAUGAUAAAAAUUUCUAAGUGUGAGUUUGCAUUUGAUGAAAAAUAUUUCAUUGAUGAAACGCUUGAUGUCACUGGGCUUGCAAAGUCAACACGCAAGUAUUUCCUGACUGUCUCUUCAACAGUAUCCAUCCGUUGGCUGAGCUUUUCAUGUUGCUCAAACAUGAUACCAGACACUAAUGACAGCUCACUGUCUGUCAUACCACUGUCCGUAAUGGAAACUUCAGAGGUGGCACCACACACAAGUCCCAGAUUCCUGAUGUGAAUUCUAUCCAAGCUUUCGUCAUCCUCAAUAAUGUGUCGCACGGGGUUCAUGAGGAAAUUUAAUAUGUCCCAAAGGACACUUUUAGGGAGAUCUACUGCUGGGUGAACGAUAUUGUAUCUGAUAAAGGAAAUGAAGCCUAACUCACAUCACCUUCAUUCAAAAUCAACUGCUGCUCCACAAACUAUGGUAUUGUUAUAAUGCGUGUAUGAUUACCAAAAAUAUUAUGCAUCACUAACUAUUACACAAUUGCUAGAUUUGCUCUUUAACACAAUUCAUUACUACUUUUAACAACUUGAGGUUCUAACAACUUCUAUUGCAGCAUUUAACAUUGAAUCAAUAAAAUAAAUUACCAUAUCUAGGAAAGGUGCAAAAUAUCCUAAUUGUUACUAGCUAUGUACUUCUAUGUAAUUACAUAUUUAAUAAUCAUUUGAAAUAUUACAGAUCAAUAAUCCAAGGUUGAAAAUUCAACAUAAAAAAUAGAUGUCAUCACAAUUCCCCCAAGAAUAGUGUCCAAACUUGAAUUUUUUUCCAACUGAGUGUCUUCCCUUCAGCACUGCACAGGAGUUGCUUGUUGAAAGGUGAAUUAAAAACACCAAAAUGGGCUGUUAUGAAAGUAAUCUUACAACAGCUUUUUUUUAAAGCUCUUUCAAAAGAUUUUUAAAAGAUCAAUAAUUGACAUGAUUUGCCUAAUAAGUUAUGAAGUUGAUUCCAAAAAUUCAUUAGGAUUAUGAGACAUUGUUACCAGUUUCUAUAUACCCAUAUAUGAUUAAAAACAGUGAUUAAUUAAAACUGAGUUUUCCUGUUAAGUAAGGAUAGCUAACCAACAAAAAUGAAAAGGACCUACCACAGAUGCACUUGCUGUAGAACAGAAAACAGUUCAAGUGUUAAUGUUAAAUCAUCACCAAAUUACCUGUAUACAAGAGCAAGGAUAUUGAGCAUAGUUGCCACAUCUGGAUGGUCAUGACCAGACGUCUUUUCUAAAUCUUCCAGUGCUUGCUUACAGAGAGGGACUGCCACCUCAUAUCGACCCUAACAAAAGCAUAAUGCAAAGAAUGAUAUUUUAAGCACCAUUUCAAGGGAUGAAAAAAAUUCAAAA